CGAGUGAAGCGGGAAAAGCUCAAAUUUAAAAUCUGGCGGUCUCCGGCCGUCCGAGUCGUAAUUUAGAGAAGCGUUAUCCGUGCUGGACCGUGUAUAAGUCUCCUGGAAUGGAGCGUCAUAGAGGGUGAGAAUCCCGUCUUUGACACGGACUACCAGUGCAUUGUGAUGCGCUCUCGACGAGUCGAGUUGUUUGGGAAUGCAGCUCAAAAUGGGUGGUAAAUGCCAUCUAAAGCUAAAUAUUGGCGAGAGACCGAUAGCGAACAAGUACCGUGAGGGAAAGAUGAAAAGAACUUUGGAAAGAGAGUUAAACAGUACGUGAAAUUGUCGAAAGGGAAACGGUUGCAGUCAGUCGCGUCCGCCGGGGAUCAACCUUGCUUUUGCUUGGCGUAUUUCCCGGUGGAUGGGUCAGCAUCAGUUUUGACCGCAGUUGAAAGGCUGGAGGAAUGUGGCACCUUCGGGGUGUGUUUAUAGCCCUCCUGUCAUAUGCUGCGGUUGGGACUGAGGAACUCAGCACGCCGCAAGGGCCGGGAUUCGUCCCACGUU
rnacentral:rRNA from 1 species